rnacentral:tRNA from 1 species
AAAAAUUUAGUUAAUCUAUAACAUUAACUUGUCAAGUUAAAAUAAUUAAUUUUUAAUAAUUUUUA